AGGACUGGUCCUUGAAGGCCAGGAUGACCUGUUCCAGGACUAGGACCAGGAAGAAGCCCAUAGACACAAUGAACUCGGGAAGAGGGAACUGGAGCUGUGAGGAGAGAAGAUCGGAAAACUAAACACAACAGCAUUGUCAAAGUACAUCAGAGAGGAAAGGAGAAACCCACCACUGUGUGUCUGAGUCCAAACUUACUGUGAUGCCUGCACUGCUGAAGGCCUCGUUGAUGCCCUGCAGGUAGUCUGGCAGCAGGUCCAACAGGCAGGUGGCCAAGAAAACUCCUCCAGCAAAGCAGCUGAUGAGGCCAAGAAGCCUGUGGCGUAAAUCUGUAAAUCAGACAGAAACUCACAAUGAAACCUAGCAUAAAACCUGCUGAGCAUCAUGGGCAAACAGCUGCUUGGCGCUAGCCUUGUCACCAGCACACGGGGAGGGACCCAAACGCACGGCGCAGACAGGAAGUGGAUUUAUUAAUGGCGUUGGCAGACAGGCAAAGGUCGGUACACAGGUUAGCAAUACUUCACAGACAAGGAGUAGGCAAGAGUUAGUCUCCAAGCAUGAAUUAUACACAGAGGCAGAGUCCAAUUCAGUACCGACAGGGAGCAGGCAAGACAAGGUCAAACACGAAGCAAAAGUGGACUUACAAGGUGAGAAAGCUGGUGAGUCAAACAGGUAAAUGAUCAAGACCAUCUGGCAAACAAGAGUGGUGAGUAUUGGUGCUUAAAUGCCGGAGAGUGAUUACUGAACGGAAACAGCUGGUGGUGACGUGACAGACAAACACAGGUGAACCAAACAGGAACUUAUCAAAAUAAGACAGGAACCCCAAAACAGGCAAGAUAAUGGUGACAACAAAGCUGAUGCAUGACAAGCCUAAAGCUAGGUGUGUGGGUCAGACAUAAUAAUAAUAAUAAUAAUAAUAAUAAUAAUAAUAAUAAUAAUAAUAAUAACAAUAAUAGAAACUUUAUUCAAAUUAGUUUCUGCAUUUGACCGAUCCCCUGGGGGAGCAGUGGGCACCCACACCGAGGUGCCCGAGGUGCAGGUGGGAGAUCAAGCUACGUGCUCCUCGUGGUCUGCCUUCUCACCUGGGUUCAGGUUGCAGCGCCCCGUUCCCUGGGUGAUGCACAGUGGAGUGAAGCCAAACAGCAGCGAGGAGGUCAGCAGGACCACUAGUGCUCCCAAUUUGAUCUCCAGGGCGGGGACAUCAGCCGGGUUUACCUGCAGGACCAGACCUUCAACCCCAGGAGACAGGAGGGCGGAGGAGGACACUCGGACCCCGACAGCCAUCUUUAAUAAGGUUGGUGUGUGUCAAACAGGAAGGGGGGUGGUAGAUGUCUUAAACGCCGGCCAUGGAUUCAUACAGGAGGAGACGCCCAGGUGAGUCCAGAACUGAUCUGUGUUCAAAGGGGAUCCUGACACAAAUAUGAUCCUAUGCUGUAAUAAUAUACUAUAAUAUACCGUAAUAAUACACAAUAACGUACUGUAGUAACACACAGUAAAGUACUGUAAGGAUGCGCAGUAACAUACUGUAAUAAUACACAGUAAAAUACUGUAAUAAUAAACAGGAAUCGAUGGCAGUGUUGUGUAUGUUUCUCUCACUGAAGCGCCCAGAAUCAUGAUGUUCUGAAUUAUACUGCAGCCUCAGUGUCAGGAUAGUUUCAGACUCGUCAUUACCCAGUCAGAUUCUGGCGAACCGAGCCAUGAUCCUAACAUGAACUUUAAAUGUAGUAGAUUAAAACACGUGCGUUACUUCAGUAACUGUACUCAGUUUUAGAGCAGCUUUAUUGUACAGCAAUGACUGGAUCAGAACUUUACCAUAAUGUUAUCAUCACUGUUCAGACACCACAAAUUGGUGUCGGAUUAACCGAACCGAAGGAACCUCUUAAAAGCGUGCGAACUUCAGUGAAACUUACGAAGCGACGUAUCGGUGGCCCUGAAUUUAAAGCUUCGGUAUUAUCGAGUUCAUCCGUAGUAGAAUCUGGUUCUGUUGGACUCGGGCGCUGUUGACCCACCGUUUGUUCUUCUCCCCUAGGGAAAAAAGCUCGAUGUGGUUACAUGUUGUCCGGGAAGCGCCACGCUGUUGUCACUUGAUGAAGCACCAACUGGAAGGGGAGGUUCAGCUGCUGAGCGAGUCCUGGAGAAAUGCCUGCAGCGAUUCAUCACGUAGCAAAGAAUGAUCACGUCCUGCAGACAACGUCUGCUGCACAGUCACAGCUUCUGGUGACAGUGCUGAGCUUCGCAAUGCGUGGAUGCCUCUGGGGACUUUUUAGUGGAUUUUAAGAUCUGUUAAGAAGAAAGAAGAAAAACAAGAACAAUACUGAAGCCUGAGUCUAAAAUAGGCCCCAAAGCCCCACAGAGACCUUGAAGUCAAAAAGAUAUUCCCUUUACAAGAACUGAAGCCAACACAUGAUAAAUGUUUAUUUUCUUUAAAUUGUACAUAAUUCUGAUCCUGCUCUUGUUUUAUAACUGUACUGCUGCUGCAACGUGGGAAAUUUCCCCAUUGUUAUUAUUUGGUGAUUCGUAUCAUCUAACACUACAUGAUAUGAACCACUGCUCUAAUACUGAACUUGAUGUCUAUUCGUGCAUAAACACUAGAAAAGUUCUUAUCUGUAGAGCACAUAAAGCUAAACAGACAAAAACACCUGCUCACAUGUUCUGAAGUCAUAUUCCCUAUAAAUCUAAUGGACUGUGACGAGACAUAAAAGCCAGCAAGUGACUCGUGUGACACACGGUCCAGAUAGAAGGAGUAAAACAAGCAGAUAUAGAGCAGAUACGUGAAGGAUGAGAUGUGAAGCUAACAGGCCUCUGAGUUUAUGAGCCAGAACAGGAAAGGUCACCCGAGGCAGACUGACUAAAGAACACAGACACAGAUUAGGUUUAUGUCCAACUGAAGAGCCUGAACAUUUAUGUAACAACAAACUACAAAUCAGAAAUGUGACCUCUACUCCACAGACAGAGGUGUGCAUUGAACCUUUAGUUAAAAAAAGCAGUGGCCCAGGCUCAUUUUACAGCAGGCAGCAUUUUAUUGUGUGAAACAUGCUGAUGUUGUGAUAUGUGAGCUUGUAAACUGAACCUUAUCUUCUAUUCAUAAAAAAAUCAUCCUUCAUUCAUUCACAGACAGAUUGUCAUAAAAGAUAAGAUUCAAUAAGCAAUAAGGAAAAACUUUACUGAUCUCCUUGGGGAAGUGCCUCUGACCCUUCCCCUGGGGAGCACUGGGCUGUCUCACAUGGAGCUAUAGUGUGAAGUAUCUUGCUCAAGCACACACCUGGUGCCAGAGGUGCAGACUGAACCAGGGACUUUCUGAUGCUCUACCUACUGAGCUACCAGGCCUGGGUUUCUAUUCACAGCUAAAAUGGUUCACACCUUAAAAACUUUAGCUCUACAUAAAGAGCACCUGUACUGUAGCUGGUACUAGAUUGAGAAGUCAGUAGGAAACACAGCAACUCAACGAGUCACACACAUACAGCAGCCUCCCCUCUAGCCUUUGCCCUGGUCAGAAACACCCCUACAUACAGUCAUAAAUAAUUAACUAAACUUUAAUUUGUAGUUUAAACUUUUAUUAAUAACGAACGCUUUGACCAAACAGCUACAGACGGAGCCUUAAUACCAGAUGUUAUUUAACAUCUGCCUGUAUAAGCCUCUCAGCUGGGGAUGGCCUACAUCUACUCAGCUUCAGGAGCUGUAAGAAAAAACUACAGGAAACAGUCA